rnacentral:pre_miRNA from 1 species
GGUGGGAUUUCUGGGUUAUAUGGUUAAAUGUUGAACUUCAUAAGAAAUUGCCAAAAUGUUUUCCAAAGUAGCUCUACCAUUUACAUUCCCACCAGUAAU